CCUACGGGUGGCAGCAGUGAGGAAUAUUGGUCAAUGGCCGUAAGGCUGAACCAGCCAAGUCGCGUGAAGGAAGAAGGAUCUAUGGUUUGUAAACUUCUUUUAUAGGGGAAUAAAGGUAUCCACGUGUGGAUAUUUGCAUGUACCCUAUGAAUAAGCAUCGGCUAACUCCGUGCCAGCAGCCGCGGUAAUACGGAGGAUGCGAGCGUUAUCCGGAUUUAUUGGGUUUAAAGGGUGCGUAGGUUGUUUUUUAAGUCAGUGGUGAAAGUUUGUGGCUCAACCAUAAAAUUGCAGUUGAGACUGGAAGCAUUGAGUGUAUUGGAGGUAGGCGGAAGUCGUGGUGUAGCGGUGAAAUGAUUAGAUAUCACGAAGAACUCCGAUUGCGAAGGCAGCUUACUAAGCCGUAACUGACACUGAGGCGCGAAAGCGUGGGUAUCAAACAGGAUUAGAUACCCGUGUAGUC
rnacentral:rRNA from 1 species